rnacentral:rRNA from 1 species
GUGGGGAAUCUUGCGCAAUGGGCGAAAGCCUGACGCAGCCAUGCCGCGUGAAUGAUGAAGGUCUUAGGAUUGUAAAAUUCUUUCACCGGGGACGAUAAUGACGGUACCCGGAGAAGAAGCCCCGGCUAACUUCGUGCCAGCAGCCGCGGUAAUACGAAGGGGGCUAGCGUUGCUCGGAAUUACUGGGCGUAAAGGGAGCGUAGGCGGAUAGUUUAGUCAGAGGUGAAAGCCCAGGGCUCAACCUUGGAAUUGCCUUUGAUACUGGCUAUCUUGAGUAUGGAAGAGGUAUGUGGAACUCCGAGUGUAGAGGUGAAAUUCGUAGAUAUUCGGAAGAACACCAGUGGCGAAGGCGACAUACUGGUCCAUUACUGACGCUGAGGCUCGAAAGCGUGGGGAGCAAACAGGAUUAGAAACCCGAGUAGUCC